rnacentral:rRNA from 1 species
UACGAAGGGGGCUAGCGUUGCUCGGAAUUACUGGGCGUAAAGGGCGCGUAGGCGGGUCGUUAAGUUAGAGGUGAAAGCCCAGGGCUCAACCCUGGAAUUGCCUUUGAUACUGGCGGCCUUGAGUAUGGCAGAGGUGUGUGGAACUCCGAGUGUAGAGGUGAAAUUCGUAGAUAUUCGGAAGAAACACCAGUGGCGAAGGGCGACACACUGGGCCAUUACUGACGCUGAGGCGGCGAAAGCGUGGGGAGCAAACAGG